AAACGGAGCGAGAUCGAGAUAGGAAGAGGAGCUCCACAAAUGAACAGAUUUUUUUCUUUUCUUUUGUUAAUGGUUGCGAUGUGAACAGACGUUUUUGAUUUGAUGAAGAAUUGAAACCGCGUUUGUCCUCUCGCAAUCAUCACCAUGGCUUUUCUGUCGUUUCCUCACCAUAAAACGUCCUUCUCUAUUGGAUUCUUUUCAAUUUCUCUGCCAUUUUAGUUAAUUGCCUCUCAUCUUCAUGGCUGCAUCUCCCAACAACACACCAUUCUCCUAUUCCCAAUUCCCAUAAUCACGUCACUUUUCUCCUUUCCACUUCGUAAUUUUCGUCAAUUUCUGUUCAUACGCUUCUACAAUCAUUCUUCGAUUCAAUUUUGUAAGAAUCGGACUCCCAUUUCUCCCUCUUUUUAUGUUUUGCAGUUGUUGUAUCCAUGAAUCCUCAAUAUCCAGUGAAGGAGGAGGACUGGGGCUCAAGUUCGCCGGAGGUACGCGGCGGUUAUGGCUUCCCAGCCACGCCCCAGCCGAUGGAAGGUCUUUACGAUGGUGGUCCUCCGCCAUUUCUGAUCAAGAUAUUCGACAUGGUGGAGGAUCCGAUUACCGAACACAUUAUCUCUUGGGGCAGGGGAGGAAUCAGCUUCAUCGUUUGGGAUCCCCAAGCCUUCUCCGCUAAUUUACUGCCUCGAUUCUUCAAGCACAAUAACUUCUCAAGCUUCAUCCGGCAGCUCAACACUUACGGUUUUAGGAAGAUUAAUCCAGAGAGAUGGGAGUUUGCCAAUGAAGGAUUCUUGAGAGGCCAAAAGCAUCUUCUUAGGACAAUUAGGAGAAGAAAACCACUAGCAUCACACUCUGAGUCUCUGCCUCUAGAACAAGAAUCAGGUCCUUGCGUUGAGAUCGGUCGAUUCGGGCUUGACGCGGAACUCGACCGGUUGAAACGGGACAAGCAGAUGGUGAUGAUGGAGCUGGUUAGGCUGAGACGUGAGCAGCAGAAUACAAGAGCCUACCUACAAGCAAUGGAGCAAAAGCUGCAAGGGACAGAGAUGAAACAGCGACAGAUGAUGAAAUUCUUAGCAAGAGCAAUGCAGAAUCCAGACUUCAUUCAGCAGCUAGUGCACCAGAAGAAGAAAAGGGAGGUUGAAGAGGCAGCAACAAAGAAGAGGAGAUGGCCCAUUGAUCAAGGACCAAGCAGCUCCAGAGGCAGUGAAGAAGGAACCUCAAACCCCAUUAAGAUUGAGCCUCUGGAGUUUUGUGGAUAUGAAGUAUCUGAACUGGAAGCACUUGCUAUGGAAAUGCAAGGACUAGGGAAGGGAGUAAAGAAAGAAGCAGAAGUAAAGGAAGAGCUGCAGGGUCCAGAGAGUGAAGAUACAGAGCUGGAUGAGGGGUUCUGGGAGGAGUUUUUCAGUGAAAGAAUAGAAGAAGACGACGUGAAAGCAUUGAGCCAUCGCUUCGACUGUUUCGGUUCAACCCGAAAGUAAGGUAGCUGGAAAACACACUAUCUCCAUUUCUUCUGGGAUGGGAAAUCAUGGCAAGCACAGAAUUAAAAGGGAAACUGUCUUUUCCUCUUCUCUUUAUCUCUCUCUAUGCUCUUAAUUUCACACAACAAAGCUGCUCCUCAUUUUUUGUGUGGUGGGUUUUUGAAGCUGCAGGUAAAUUUAGGUGGAGAGGGAGGCCAUGGGAGGCAGAGGAUGAUACAGAACCAAGAAAUGAGGGAAGAGGGUGCAGAAGAAGCAGCCAAAAUGGAGGAGGGCCCAAGCUGGUGAGCAGCAGCAGUUGGUAGUUAAGUGGGUCGGUGUGGCUGUUUGUUGGUUUGAAAUGAAAUGGUCGGUGUUGAGCCUGAGUUUUCGUUGUCAAGCCACUUCCAAAAAAUCCCAGAUAUUUCCCCAUUCCUUUCACCGUCCUUCUUGCAACCCAUAUGCAAAUGCUACACUUUUUUUUUGUCUCUCUUUUUUAUUGCCUUUUGAGAUUGAUGUCUACGUAUUUAUAAACUUCUCGGAUUUUUUUCGGAUUAA